GACAAACGCUGGCGGCGUGCUUAACACAUGCAAGUCGUACGGUAAGGCCCUUUCGGGGGUACACGAGUGGCGAACGGGUGAGUAACACGUGAGUAACCUGCCCACAACUUUGGGAGAACGCUAGGAAACUGGUGCUAAUACUGGAUAUGUGCUCCUGCUUCAUGGUGGGGGUUGGAAAGCUCCGGCGGUUGUGGAUGGACUCGCUGCCUAUCAGCUUGUUGGUGGGGGAGUUGCCUACCAAGGCGGCGGCGGGUAGCCGGCCUGAGAGGGUGACCGGCCAAAAUGGGGCUGGGGUAAGGCCCAAGCUCCCAAGGGGAGGAACAGUGGGGAAUAUUGCACAAUGGGCGCAAGCCUGAUGCAGCAACGCCGCGGGCGGGAUGACGGCCUUCGGGUUGUAAACCGCUUUCAGCAGGGAAGAAGCUUUUUGUGACGGUACCUGCAGAAGAAGCACCGGCUAACUACGUG
rnacentral:rRNA from 1 species